rnacentral:lncRNA from 1 species
AAUGUUUCGGCGGCACAAUUGCGGUUAGAGGAACCAAGCUAUUUUAAGCUUUAGCCUUGUUGUUUUAUUCCAGGAAAAUUUAGUUGGAUUUCGUUAGUCAGUAUAGUUGCAUUUCCUACAACAUAAACUUCAAGAAGGUCGGUGUAAUCGUGAGACGAGAUGGGUACCGAUUCUAAUUAAGUCAGACCUUUGGAGAGGUUAGUGUAGUUUUCCCUUUAUUAUAUGCUCCAAACAUGAUAUGCUGUCAAUUUGUUGUUGAAGGUACAUCAUCUAGUCUUGUUAGUUGUUACACUGUCCAUUUUUGUUAUGAAGAUUGAAGAGCACCACAAGCAGUUCUAUUAGCCAAGAUAUAUGAAAUUUUGAACUGUAACUAUGAUUGCUCUAAUCUAAGCUUUGAUUUGUUCAUCCUAAUUCCUAAAUGGUAGAAGAAACUUUAGUGCAUAAGUUUGAUAUUGUUAUUUAUCUUUUAAAUUUUUUACUUGGUUCCUAGAACUUCUUUAGAUUAGAGAAGUUUGUGGUAUGUUGCUCCUCUAUUUUUGUUCUUGUGGUGGGCUAACAUUUUAUUAUUGACAUUUAAAAAUUUCACAAGCUUAUGACAUGGAUGCCUGUAUAAACAUAGUCAAACCAUUAGAACUUUUAUGACCCUCUAAUAGAAACCUGAAAAACAGGAUAUUUCAUGUGCACGCGAAUCUUAGGCAAUCAAAUUCGAAACCUAUUAUUUCUAUCCAUAUGAGCAUCACUCUCCAACUACAGGAGAGAAUUAUUAAGUGCAGACACAUUUGCUGUCACAUAUUAUCUUAGGAAAAGCUGUGUAUGAUUAGUUGAAACAAGUGAUGGCUGUAAUAUUUGCUGAUGGGUAGUUAGGAAAGGAUUGUUAUCCUUAUUCUGUGGAAAUUUCUACCACAGUUUGUAGCUGACCAUUUCGCAGGUGAUGGAGCCUCUCUUUUGCAUAUAAACAUGAUGCUGCUAACAAAUUAAAUGAAUGAAACCAGUUUAGCUCCACAAAGUUCUGUUUUUUACUAAAAUACAAAUUUAUUGUAUACUUAAAAAGACAAAAGGGGGAAGGAUAGCAAGGGUAGAAUAAGUCAAACGACUGAUGCAUACAUGCUCUAGGCUAAGGAGCCCAGUUUCACUGGAUAGUAUAAUUUUGGGUCAUGAUUUGUGAUAAAAUAUUAUCACGUCGUUGGACCCAUGUAUAUGGUAAUUUCCCUGUUUUCCACCAUGCAAUUUGUUGAGGAAUAACAAGUAUAUUUGCAUUUAACCCAAGGGUGAGGAAGGGGAGUGAAAAGGAAUUAAGGUAAGUGUGUGUAGGGAAUAGGGAUUAGGGAUAGCUCAGAGAGCUCAGCCAAUACUUCCACAUGGUCUGUUGUGACAUUCCCAGUCAAAAUAAGCUCCAUAAGGCCACAACUUUAAACUGCUUGAUCAUGAUACCAAAGCUGUACACAUCCACUUCAGUGUUAUAAUUGCUUUUAUGUCUCUUAAUCCUCUUUAUCAUGGUGAGACCUCUUAAAAAGAGGAGAAAGAAAGCCGACCCUUUGGCUCGCUUCCGACCCGGAAAUCUACGAUCUACCCAGCGCCUUUGUUUAUGUUGAGUAGGUCCGCUCCUCGUUCACCACAAACAUGUCGAAAUUCCACAAUCGGGGGAAUGAAUCAGCACUUCCUGAUACGGCAUGCAGCUAAUGGUAAGGUUACUUGCAUUGUAAUUGUAAGUUUAAAUUAUGGAUACAACUUUUUCAUUCAUUUAAGUAAGACUAUCUACCAUUCUCAAAUCCCACUAAAUAGGAGUUUUAUGAACUUGACCGCCCACCAGUCUCUUAAUACUUUUAAGGACAAUUUGUUUCUACUUCACCAUAUGAGCGAGUUAAUAGCUGCAAUGUGUGCUAUUAAUCAUUGUAUUCAAUUCCAAAAUAAAUAAAAAGUAAAAGUAUCCAGAAGUCUUGGUGAUGCUACUUUCACAGAAUCUAACAAUGUAAUGUGUUCUCACAUGCAUUGUAUCAAAACAGUAAAUAAGAAACCAAUACAGUUCAAGUAACUCUUGCUUACUUUCACUAACCACAUAAAUCCAAGAAAAAUAAAUUGUUAAAUCAGAUUGUAACUUAAGACUAUCUAUGUUUCUGGUUUGUAAGGAUUGCCACAUAUAGAAUCAUGACCAUAAAACUAGUCAUUUCUUAUUUUGGAAGCUCGGCCAGGCAAUGUGACUGACCCAGUGAACGCCUCAUUCUGAAGGAACCUGCAAAUAAGCACCACGGUUCUGUCCAUAGUUAUCCGGUAUGCGGUACGAGUAUAUGAUGAAAUACAAAACAAGUUUAGGAAAAGUAUGAAAUAAGAAACUUUCCAUCUAAGAUUUGUCAAGGCCAAAUGGUUUAUAGUAUGACACUUUUGAUGAAAUGGAAGAGUUUUAAUGUGUUAAUGAUUUAGUAUGUAUUUAUGACUAGAGAAAAAUAGGAAUGAACUUGUCUUUUCCAUUCAUUUAUUUAAAGUGCAUAUUCAGAAAAUGCCACUGAAGAAUUGAAGGUUCAUAACCUUUCUUGGAAAUGAGUUCAAUUGUACAAAAAUAUCACAUUUAAACUAG